rfam:Nippostrongylus brasiliensis genome assembly, scaffold: NBR_scaffold0001212
CGUUCAUUCCUGAACAUAUUAUUAAAAUUGGAACAAUACAGUGAAGAUUAGCAUGACCCCUGCGCAAGGAUGACACGCAAUUUCCAAAUGGCGGCCGAAAACGGU